CUAUGUAAAAUAUUGUUCAAACAAUUGAAAAUUUUACCUGGUGAGCGUGCUGAUUCCAGAAUCUAUAUGAGGAUACGUCAUAGUAUAAUUCGGCUUAUUAAAGAUGUAUUGCGCAUUCAUUAACAUAUCGUAUUCGCUGUGCGACACGUUUGUCAGCAAAGGAUGAAUUUUGGCUCUUCUAUCGAGUAACGUCACCGACAUAGUAGCAUUUAUCUUGUCGAAAAGAGUAUUUAGAAUGAUUCCGUCCAAGCCUCCAUAAUUGUUCAUACUUGUUCUUUGAGGAUUGAAUGUGAGAGUCGGAGGAGAUAAGCCACCCGUCAACUUAAUCCGAUAGCCACCUACUUUGAUUUUCUUGUUAAAAUUUAAUUCUUCGCACGUUGUAUCGCCUAGAAAGAUACGCUCAAUUAUUACAAAGUGUACAAAGUAACAACAGCUUCUUUUUAUAUUUGAGUAAAAACUAUACAAGUAAAUAGGAACUUCUAUGCUCUAAUAAUACAACAUACAUUUUUUAGUCAAAAAUAUAAUCGCAAUAGUUUUAUAUCACAUUUCUUUUUAUUAUUGAAAUUUAUCGGCAGUUGCAUCAAUAAUCGUAUUAAUUGAGAAAACAGAGGUAAAUUCCGUAAAAAUAUUUUAUGGAAAGUUUCACAGUCACAAGUUUUGGCAUUCAUACUUUGAAGUUCAUGUUUCAGCAUGCUCCAAGUUAGAUUCUUCUCGUCGAUGGAAGAUUGAACCUUACGCCAGAUUUUAGGCGCUGGAUUUCCAUAACGAUUGCAAUCGAUAGAUAAGACUCCGGUUUGUCACAGACGUUGGUAUCAUUAUUGCCGUAAAUUAUACCGUAAAACGCUAACGGAUUCCACCAUAUCGAUACCAUUAAUUCUUCAAUCAAAUACCUCAAAUUCAACGGAGACGAGACAAACAAGAUGAACACGUGCAAUUUGUCAUAUCGAGAUAAAUUAUUGUAGACCAGUAUUUAAAAGUUCCAGAAGACCAGCAUAGACCAACGUAAUUCAUUUCGUCAGCCCGACAGCUACUCAAUAUGUUACUCUAUUCUCAAAAACAGAAAAAUAUAAAAUGUUAAGUAAAUAUACAAAUCCGAGAGAAUUACAUCUUAUAACUUACUCUUGUUAAAAAUCACGCGAUACAUAUACGUAUAUAAUACUUAUGUAUUAAUGUGUUAUUUAUCAUCUGUAUACCACAUUAUUAAAAAUACAAAAACACAUCUUACUAGUUUUUCUAACAUAACAUCAAUUUCAGUAAUAUUCACAGCUGCGUAUG